GUGUUAUUGCGCUGAUGGGCUUCACUGUGGGAGCUGUCGGUCUUCUCAUGAUCCCCAGAGUCAUCAGAAUCAGCAGUCCCUUCUGAACUACUGCCUGCUGUUCUCUGCAAACACCAUGUAAACAGCUAUAUCACCACGCACAGCCAGCAUGCAUGGCUGUUAGACUUUGUUAACUGGAGAGACUGGGAACAUGAGGAGGAAGAUGGCAUUGCAGAAUAUAAGCAGUAUGUGGAUAUGCUUAAUAAAACGAAGUACAAAAGAGAGCCUCCUGCAAUGGAUGUAAUGGACAAUCUUAGUGACUGACAGAGCACCACUGCCCAUGAUGAGCCUGGACAGUUUUCUAAAAUGUUAUAUGAGCAGUAAAAGCCAAUUCACAUAGCCCCAAUAAAUUUGCCAUUGUGAGCUAGACUAGACACACUAGUGUGUGUAAUAUGAAUGACUCAUGUAAGUGUAUGUAAUAUGUAACUGUCUUUUAUAACCUUUGUUACAAACAAAUGUGACCCUGGAGCACAAAAGCAGUCUCAAGUCGCUGGGGGUAUAUUUGUAGCAAUAGCCAAAAAUACGUCAAAAAUUAUAGCUUUUUCUUUUAUGACAAUAGGAUAUUACGUAAAGGUCAUGUUCCAUGAAGAUAUUUUGUAAAUUACCUACUGUAAAUAUAUAAAACUUAAUUUCUGAUAUGUGGUGUUAAGAACUUAAUUUGGACCAAUUUAAAGGCAAUUUGUUAAAUAUUUAGAAUUUUUUAGUUGUAUCUCAGCCAAAUAUUGUUAUAUCCUAACAAACUAUACAUCAAUGGAAAGCUUUUUUAUUCAGAUGUAUAAAUCUUCAUUUUGAAAAAUUGACAUAUAUGACUGGUUGUGUGGUUCAGUGUCACAAAUCAUCCUUGCUUUGU